rnacentral:rRNA from 1 species
CCUACGGGAGGCAGCAGUAGGGAAUAUUGCUCAAUGGGGGAAACCCUGAAGCAGCAAAGUCGCGUGGAGGAAGAAGGUUUUCGGAUUGUAAACCCCUGUUGUUAGAGAAGAAAAUGACGGUAUCUGAGGAAUAAGCACCGGCUAACUCCGUGCCAGCAGGCGCGGUAAUACGGAGGGUGCAAUGGUUAUUCGGGAUCUCUGGGCGUAAAGAGGACGGAGGCGGGUGAGCAAGUCAGAUGUGAAAUCCUAUGGCUUAACCAUAGAACUGCAUUUGAAACUGUUAUUCUAGAGUAUGUGAGAGGUAGGUGGAAUUCUUGGUGUAGGGGUAAAAUCCGUAGAGAUCAAGCGGAAUACUCAUUGCGAAGGCGACCUGCUAGAACAUCACUGACGCUGAUGCGCGAAAGCGUGGGGAGCAAACAGGAUUAGAUACCCCAGUAGUC